rnacentral:rRNA from 1 species
AUUGAACGCUGGCGGCAGGCCUAACACAUGCAAGUCGAGCGGAUGACGGGAGCUUGCUCCUUGAUUCAGCGGCGGACGGGUGAGUAAUGCCUAGGAAUCUGCCUGGUAGUGGGGGACAACGUUUCGAAAGGAACGCUAAUACCGCAUACGUCCUACGGGAGAAAGCAGGGGACCUUCGGGCCUUGCGCUAUCAGAUGAGCCUAGAUCGGAUUAGCUAGUAGGUGAGGUAAUGGCUCACCUAGGCGACGAUCCGUAACUGGUCUGAGAGGAUGAUCAGUCACACUGGAACUGAGACACGGUCCAGACUCCUACGGGAGGCAGCAGUGGGGAAUAUUGGACAAUGGGCGAAAGCCUGAUCCAGCCAUGCCGCGUGUGUGAAGAAGGUCUUAGGAUUGUAAAGCACUUUAAGUUGGGAGGAAGGGCAGUAAGUUAAUACCUUGCUGUUUUGACGUUACCGACAGAAUAAGCACCGGCUAACUCUGUGCCAGCCGCCGCAGUAAUAC